GUAAAUAUAGUUUACCCAAAACACUAGACUGUGACUCUAGAAACAGAAGACAUAUCUUCUUAUUUACC
rnacentral:tRNA from 1 species